rnacentral:rRNA from 1 species
CCUACGGGAGGCAGCAGUGAGGAAUAUUGGUCAAUGGACGAGAGUCUGAACCAGCCAAGUAGCGUGAAGGAUGACUGCCCUAUGGGUUGUAAACUUCUUUUAUAUGGGAAUAAAACGUUCCACGUGUGGGAUUUUGUAUGUACCAUAUGAAUAAGGAUCGGCUAACUCCGUGCCAGCAGCCGCGGUAAUACGGAGGAGCCGAGCGUUAUCCGGAUUUAUUGGGUUUAAAGGGAGCGUAGGUGGAUUGUUAAGUCAGUUGUGAAAGUGUGCGGCUCAACCGUAAAAUUGCAGUUGAAACUGGCAGUCUUGAGUACAGUAAAGGUGGGCGGAAUUCGUGGUGUAGCGGUGAAAUGCUUAGAUAUCACGAAGAACUCCGAUUGCGAAGGCAGUUCACUGGACUGCAACUGACACUGAGGCUCGAAAGUGUGGGUAUCAAACAGGAUUAGAUACCCCUGUAGUA